UACGAAGGUUGCAAGCGUUACUCGGAAUUACUAGGCGUAAAGGGCAGGUAGGUGGUUUGGUAAGUCUAUUGUGAAAGCUCCCGGCUUAACUGGGAGAGGCCAAUGGAUACUGCCAAGCUUGAGUAUAGGAGAGGUUACUGGAAUUCCCGGUGUAGCGGUGAAAUGCGCAGAUAUCGGGAGGAACACCAAUGGCGAAAGCAGGUAACUGGACUAUUACUGACACUCAACUGCGAAAAGCUAGGGGAGCAAACAGG
rnacentral:rRNA from 1 species